UUCAAUGAUUAGAUUAUAGCCCGGGGGCCUAUUUUAAAAUCAAUCGAAAAAAGGUUUUUGAUCAAAAUUUGGUCAAAAGCGAAUAUAUUUACGACCAAUUAAAAAAUCCGUAUUCUCAAACAGAUUUCGACCGUAGUAUUCGAUUUAUUGUUUCGACUACUAUUUACCAACCGUAAACUUGUUUUUGAUCAAAGUACGUUAUGAUACUGUAAUGUUAACAAUAAUUUUAUAAUUUGGAUUGCGGUGUGGUAUUUUUACAGUAGCUACCUACAGUGUGUAAAAACAAGUUACCUGUACUAUUUACAACAGUAUUUACCUAUUUGUUAUUUUUUUUUUUUUUCAAAGUACUUAGGUACCUAGUGAGUAAAAUUACACAUUAUUAAUUACUGGAUGUUCUUGCAUAAAUAAUACUAAGGCUUUUUUUGCUCAAAUGUAACUGAUUUCCCCUUAAGCUUUUUUUUGAGGAUUCAUAAAUAUUGAUUAUGAAUGUACUCGAUGUUGAAUGUGUAACUAUUAAAACUAACAAUAAACUAAUAAGUAAAAACACUGAGAACUUGUAAUAUCAAAAUAUAGCUAAUAAAAUAUUUUAUUUCAUGGAAUAAAAACUGUUUUUAGUGAUAAGCGAUUCAAUAAUUGAAAAAUCGAUCAAAAACCAGCAAU